AAAACACAUAUGCAAGAAAGUCUACAAGAUAUUCUUCCAAUAAAUGUUAGUUUAGAAUCUGCUAUGUGAUAGGCACUGAGUUAGUUUCAGAACAUAAUGAAGAAGAAAAUAGAUCUAGUCACUUUCCUCUUUAUUUACACGUAGAUUUGGAGACAGUUAAGACUAAGAGAGAAUUGCAGAAAUAAGUGCUACAAGUAUACAAAAUGUUACAUUAUGUUGUUGUGAUAGAGGAAUGUGUGAAGUAGAAGGUGGAUGUGGAAGUCAAAGAUGCCAAGGUCAAGUAUUCCCACUGUUUCAGUGUAAGAAAUCUUGUAGUGUAAGCUAAGUGUGGCAGUCCUAAGUGCUGCUGACCAUGUAUCUCCAUCUUUCCUGGUUUUGGAUGUAUACAGGAUUACACUUUCCUGCUGUCUCAGAGUUAGGCCUGGCUACAUAACUGGCCAAAGCAAGCAAAAGUGACAUGCAUUGCUUUCUGUUGGAAACCUUAAGAUCCACAAACAAUUAACCACACCUUGUCUUUCCACAGGUGUGUUUCUUCUCACGGACAUGCAUGUUGAAUGGAAGCCUGACAGUUGCUGGCCUAAAGGACCAGGAAGAUAUACAUCAAGAUAUGUACAUAAAUAUAUAACACAAGGUAUACAUCAUCAUGGUGUCAUCCCAUUGAGAUUUUGAAGUUGUGUUUUUCUAUAGCCCAUCCUUACUCAUGAAUUUCAAAUAUACUGUUGAAUCCCAGGAAGAGAAGUGGCCAUUCUAUCUUCAAAAGCCAACCAGGAAAUAAUCUUUAUUUUGGACAGUCGCUGAGUACUUGGAGAAAGCAUGGAAAAUGGGCUCCUUGAUGGUGGUGAGUCUCAGAAGUGUGAGCAGCUGGACUGGCCUUGGGGAUGGAAGAAGGAGGGAGAAUUGCAAGACCUGGAAUCUUGACCUUGCUCCCAUCAUCACUGUCUGUGUAACACUGUACAGACUUUCUUGUUUUAACACCACAGCACAUUUCAAAUUUUUUCUUCAGUCCCUCCUAACUCUGAUUUAUAAAAUUAAAAAAAGAUCAUAUUUGCCUAAUGGAUCUUAUGAGAAUUUCAUGAUGAUAAAAGGAAAUAACAGAUGAAACAUAUUUUUAUCAAACCCAGUGUGCUUUCAUAGCAUUUAUUUUACUUAAAUACCAGCUAUUAUUAGUCUAAGACCAAUGUUGUCAAGCUUAGUGUCAAUUUUAAUUAUAAUUCUUACUUAUGUGAAACACAUUUCCUUAGGACCUUAUCUAACUUUGUUUUUGUCACAGGCCUUUACUGAAACCUUUUUAUAGAUGUGUAAAUUUCUGUUGCUUUCUGUUUAGCAAAAUGAAGUAUUAGUGAGAAAAUCGAUCAAUUAAAUAUUUUUUCAGAACUUGAAUUAAGUAUUAUGUUCUUAGAGUGCUUUUUCAAAUCAUUAACCUUAAUUACUUUAAUAAAGAGUUUUAUGUUGAUAACGAGUAUUGAGAU
rnacentral:lncRNA from 1 species